rnacentral:rRNA from 1 species
CCUGCAUGAAGUCGGAAUUGCUAGUAAUCNCGGAUCAGCAUGCCGCGGUGAAUACGUUCCCGGGCCUUGUACACACCGCCCGUCACACCAUGGGAGCCGGUAAUACCCGAAGUCAGUAGUCCAACCUCGUGAGGACGCUGCCGAAGGUAGGAUUGGCGACUGGGGUGAAGUCGUAACAAGGUAGC